GGUUCCAUGGUGCAAUGGUUAGCACUCUGGACUUUGAGUCCAGUGAUCCGAGUUCGAGUCUCGGUGGAACCU
rnacentral:tRNA from 1 species